ACGGUACCUAUAGAAGAAGCACCGGCCAACUACGUGCCAGCAGCCGCGGUAAUACGUAGGGUGCGAGCGUUGUCCGGAAUUACUGGGCGUAAAGAGCUCGUAGGUGGUUUGUCGCGUUGUUCGUGAAAACUCACAGCUUAACUGUGGGCGUGCGGGCGAUACGGGCAGACUGGAGUACUGCAGGGGAGACUGGAAUUCCUGGUGUAGCGGUGGAAUGCGCAGAUAUCAGGAGGAACACCGGUGGCGAAGGCGGGUCUCUGGGCAGUAACUGACGCUGAGGAGCGAAAGCGUGGGGAGCGAACAGGAUUAGAUACCCUGGUAGUCCACGCCGUAAACGGUGGGUACUAGGUGUGGGUUUCCUUCCUUGGGAUCCGUGCCGUAGCUAACGCAUUAAGUACCCCGCCUGGGGAGUACGGCCGCAAGGCUAAAACUCAAAGGAAUUGACGGGGGCCCGCACAAGCGGCGGGAGCAUGUGGAUUAAUUCGAUGCAACGCGAAGAACCUUACCUGGGGUUUGACAUGCACAGGACGCCGGCAGAGAUGUCGGUUCCCUUGUG
rnacentral:rRNA from 1 species